GAUGAACGCUGGCGGCGUGCCUAAUACAUGCAAGUCGAGCGAACGGACGAGAAGCUUGCUUCUCUGAUGUUAGCGGCGGACGGGUGAGUAACACGUGGAUAACCUACCUAUAAGACUGGGAUAACUUCGGGAAACCGGAGCUAAUACCGGAUAAUAUUUUGAACCGCAUGGUUCAAAAGUAAAAGACGGUCUUGCUGUCACUUAUAGAUGGAUCCGCGCUGCAUUAGCUAGUUGGUAAGGUAACGGCUUACCAAGGCAACGAUGCAUAGCCGACCUGAGAGGGUGAUCGGCCACACUGGAACUGAGACACGGUCCAGACUCCUACGGGAGGCAGCAGUAGGGAAUCUUCCGCAAUGGGCGAAAGCCUGACGGGAGCACGCCGCGUGAGUGAUGAAGGUCUUCGGAUCGUAAAACUCUGUUAUUAGGGAAGAACAUAUGUGUAAAGUACUGUGCACAUCUUGACGGUACCUAAUCAGAAAGCCACGGCUAACUACGUGCCAGCAGCCGCGGUAAUACGUAAGUGGCAAGCGUUAUCCGGAAUUAUUGGCCGUAAAGCGCGCGUAGGCGGUUUUUUAGUCUGAUGUGAAAGCCCACGGCUCAACCGUGGAGGGUCAUUGGAAACUGGAAAACUUGAGUGCAGAAGAGGAAAGUGGAAUUCCAUGUGUAGCGGUGAAAUGCGCAGAGAUAUGGAGGAACACCAGUGGCGAAGGCGACUUUCUGGUCUGUAACUGACGCUGAUGUGCGAAAGCGUGGGGAUCAAACAGGAUUAGAUACCCUGGUAGUCCACGCCGUAAACGAUGAGUGCUAAGUGUUAGGGGGUUUCCGCCCCUUAGUGCUGCAGCUAACGCAUUAAGCACUCCGCCUGGGGAGUACGACCGCAAGGUUGAAACUCAAAGGAAUUGACGGGGACCCGCACAAGCGGUGGAGCAUGUGGUUUAAUUCGAAGCAACGCGAAGAACCUUACCAAAUCUUGACAUCCUUUGACAACUCUAGAGAUAGAGCCUUCCCCUUCGGGGGACAAAGUGACAGGUGGUGCAUGGUUGUCGUCAGCUCGUGUCGUGAGAUGUUGGGUUAAGUCCCGCAACGAGCGCAACCCUUAAGCUUAGUUGCCAUCAUUAAGUUGGGCACUCUAAGUUGACUGCCGGUGACAAACCGGAGGAAGGUGGGGAUGACGUCAAAUCAUCAUGCCCCUUAUGAUUUGGGCUACACACGUGCUACAAUGGACAAUACAAAGGGCAGCGAAACCGCGAGGUCAAGCAAAUCCCAUAAAGUUGUUCUCAGUUCGGAUUGUAGUCUGCAACUCGACUACAUGAAGCUGGAAUCGCUAGUAAUCGUAGAUCAGCAUGCUACGGUGAAUACGUUCCCGGGUCU
rnacentral:rRNA from 1 species